GGGCCGGGAGGUCAACGGCCUGAUAAAUCCCUUUCCCAUUCCCCAACUGGUACCUGCUGCUGAUGGACAAAAGGUUAUGGUGCCAAACUGGUACGAGGCAGACUGUUCUGUAGGAGGGGAUGGACAAAGGAAAGAUUGAGAACCCAGAAGAGUUCUGAGUCAGCUGUCCAAGUAGUUGACUUCAGAUGAAUGCCAGGGUGGGUGACAGAUGAAACACUAUCAGGGUGCAAUAGUCAACUGGUCGAGACUCCAUCAGAACCUAUGUAUUUCGAAGACAUCUUCAAUGACUCAUUGCGAAGAAUCAGGUUCUUGAUGAUAUCCCUAUGUUUCUCCCCUUUUGUUUUCCAGCUAUUUGUCAUCAAUUUCUCUGAAACGUCAUUGCUGCUGUAUGAAAAACUGCCGCAUCAGGACUCAAUCCCUGGGCUGGCAUUCAUUCUCUUCCACAGAAUGUGAUCGCCCAACAGGGCUUCAGGUCAACCACCUCCGAUCCAGGUGUUGCUCGCCAAAGCUUCUCCAUGCUCUCGUUUGAACUUACACCACUUAUCUUGCCCCAGGCCAAGAAUGAACACAUGCCGUGGAACAGUUUCCUAGUAGCUUGAACUUGUCUUCCUGAAAAACCAGUACAUUUCCAUCAGGGACGACCUCUUUCCUUGACUAUAAAGACACUUGACGAGCUAGAACAGUUUCUGCCCGCCAUCUAAACCUUCCUGAUACCGUUCAUCUUCACACUGUUGCUUCCCAUGGAUUUGGAUCACUGUAUGGUGCCACAAGGGCACCAAGAGAGGGGCGAUUUCUCUCAAGCAGAUGAACAGAUUAGAUUCGUCUGACAUUUCUUUUUUCUAAGUUCAUAUUCCAUUGGGCAUCUUUCUAAAGAAGGUACGAGUCCGUAGGUGGGACCUGUUGUCUACUAUGAUCAAGCCUAUUAGUGCUGUAGCCCUCACAAAAAAUUAUCCAGUUUCUGGCAUUUUUUAUGAGCAACGGCAACCCAUGUAGUCUACCAAGAGAACACUCAGCUGUGCCUGUGGUCAAGCUAACUACUCAAGUGAGCUCUAGAGACGAGUAAGCUUUUAUGAGGGCUUUCUCAGGUCAUUCAUCUGACCCACAGCGCCUCUUCCUUUAGUUUCUUAUCUAUUGCCAAUGAAUUGGAGUUGCCAUACUUUCAGCCUGUCUCCUUCUCAGGUUUCUGUCUACUACACCUAGUGCCAACUAUGUUGCCCCCUUUUUUCUCCAUCUUUACAUCAUACAAGUCUGAUUUAUUUUACAUUAAAUCUUAAACCCUAAAUCCUAAACCCUAUAUAUAUACACAUAUAAAUAAAUCUUUACCAAAUCAGGCUUAUUUCUAGACGAGUGUGAACCGACAGGCCAAUGAUUUUAUGCAAUUUAUCUUUAUUAAAAAAUCAAAAAGAUUGCUGAAGAGUUUUAAACACCAUCCUUGAAUGUGUCAAUUAAUAAGAAAAAAAAAGGGCAUAAAGAGUCAGCUUAAUCGUCAGCAUAUUGAUACACAUACUUGUUGAUGAUAGGUACCCAAGCCAUUGAAGAUUUCCGCC
rnacentral:lncRNA from 1 species